CUUUCCAUUUGAGUAGCACUUAUUUGCAUUACAAAAUAAGUGGCUAUGCUUAUGGGAUAAAUAAAUGACUGCCAGAGUCUGAAGAAGAUUGACAGUAUCUUUUUCCUAUAUGAAAUGGCAGUACAUAUUACU